UACGAAGGGGGCUAGCGUUGUUCGGAAUCACUGGGCGUAAAGCGCACGUAGGCGGAUUGUUAAGUCGGGGGUGAAAUCCUCCAGCUUAACUGGAGAAGUGCCUUGGAUACUGGCGAGCUCGAGCGAGGCAGGGGUGAUGGGAACUUCCGGUGGAGCGGUGAAAUGCGUAGAUAUCGUUUGGAACGCCAACGGUGAAAACAGACAGCUGGGAGUGUGCUGACGCUGAGACACGAAAGCCAGGGGAGCGAACGGG
rnacentral:rRNA from 1 species